ACGUUUACUUUGACCAAAUUAGAGUGCUCAAAACAGGCUCGAAUCUGGCGGGGCGGCUUCACGGCCGUCUCGUCAAAAGGCCCUGAAUACUGGUCGCAUGGAAUAAUGGAACAAGACCUCGGUCCCGCGCAUCUCCGCCCUUCGCGGGCGCGCGAAAUCGCCCUCCGGGGCGUUUCCGUGCGCGGGCCGCCGGGCCGCGGGCGCCAGUCGCCCGCGCGUCCCGCCGGGCCGGUGUUCGGGACCGGAGGUAAUAAUCAACAGAGACGGGCGGGGGCAUUCGUACCGAGACGUUAGAGGUGAAAUUCUUGGAUCGUCUCGAGACGAACUGACGCGAAAGCAUUUGCCAAGUACGUUCUCGUA
rnacentral:ncRNA from 1 species